UACGUAGGGGGCAAGCGUUGUCCGGAUUCAUUGGGCGUAAAGAGCUCGUAGGCGGUUCGGUAAGUCGGGUGUGAAAUCUCCGUGCUCAACACGGAGCGGCCACCUGAUACUGCCGUGACUCGAGUCCGGAGAGGGAGAGUGGAAUUCCCGGUGUAGCGGUGAAAUGCGCAGAUAUCGGGAAGAACACCCGUGGCGAAGGCGGCUCUCUGGGACGGUACUGACGCUGAGACGCGAAAGCGCGGGGAGCGAACAGG
rnacentral:rRNA from 1 species